rnacentral:rRNA from 1 species
UUCCGGUUGAUCCUGCCGGACCCGACUGCUAUCAGAGUGAGAUUAAGCCAUGCGAGUCAACGUAGCAAUACGUGGCGUACGGCUCAGUAACACGUGGUCAACAUGCCCAGGGGAUGUGGAUAAUCUCGGGAAACUGAGGGUAAACCGCAAUAGGUCAAGAUCUCUGGAAUGAUUCUUGAUUCAAAUCUAUAUGGCCUCUGGAUUGGACUGCGGCCGAUCAGGCUGUUGGUGAGGUAAUGGCCCACCAAACCUAUAACCGGUACGGGCUCUGAGAGGAGAAGCCCGGAGAUGGGCACUGAGACAAGGGCCCAGGUCCUAUGGGGCGCAGCAGGCGCGAAACCUCUGCAAUAGGCGAAAGCUUGACAGGGUUACUCUGAGUGAUUUUCGCUAAGAAAAUCUUUUGGCACCUCUAAAAAUGGUGUAGAAUAAGGGGUGGGCAAGUCUGGUGUCAGCCGCCGCGGUAAUACCAGCACCCCGAGUGGUCGGGACGAUUAUUGGGCCUAAAGCAUCCGUAGCCUGUCCCACAAGUCCUCCGUUAAAUCCAACUGCUUAACAGAUGGGCCGCGGAGGAUACUAUGGGGCUAGGAGGCAGGAGAGGCAAGCGGUACUCAGUGGGUAGGGGUAAAAUCCGUUGAUCCAUUGAAGACCACCAGUGGCGAAGGCGGCUUGCCAGAAUGCGCUCGACGGUGAGGGAUGAAAGCUGGGGGAGCAAACCGGAUUAGAUACCCGGGUAGUCCCAGCCGUAAACGAUGCAGACUCGGUGAUGGACUGGCCUUGCGCUAGUCCAGUGCCGCAGGAAGCCGUUAAGUCUGCCGCCUGGGUAGUACGGUCGCAGACUGAACUUAAAGGAUUGGCGGGGGAGCACACAGGGGUGAAGCCUGCGGUUCAUUGAGUCACG